GACGAACGCUGGCGGCGUGCUUAACACAUGCAAGUCGAACGGAAAGGCCCUGCUUUUGUGGGGUGCUCGAGUGGCGAACGGGUGAGUAACACGUGAGUAACCUGCCCUUGACUUUGGGAUAACUUCAGGAAACUGGGGCUAAUACCGGAUAGGAGCUCCUGCUGCAUGGUGGGGGUUGGAAAGUUUCGGCGGUUGGGGAUGGACUCGCGGCUUAUCAGCUUGUUGGUGGGGUAGUGGCUUACCAAGGCUUUGACGGGUAGCCGGCCUGAGAGGGUGACCGGCCACAUUGGGACUGAGAUACGGCCCAGACUCCUACGGGAGGCAGCAGUGGAGAAUAUUGCACAAUGGGCGGAAGCCUGAUGCAGCAACGCCGCGUGCGAGAUGACGGCCUUCGGGUUGUAAACCGCUUUCGCCUGUGACGAAGCGUAAGUGACGGUAAUGGGUAAAGAAGCACCGGCUAACUACGUG
rnacentral:rRNA from 1 species